UACGGGGGGGGCAAGCGUUGUUCGGAAUUACUGGGCGUAAAGGGCUCGUAGGUGGCCAACUAAGUCCGACGUGAAAUCCCUCGGCUUAACCGGGGAACUGCGUCUGAUACUGGAUGGCUUGAGUUUGGGAGAGGGACGCGGAAUUCCAGGUGUAGCGGUGAAAUGCGUAGAUAUCUGGAGGAACACCGGUGGCGAAGGCGGCGUCCUGGACCAACACUGACACUGAGGAGCGAAAGCCAGGGGAGCAAACGGG
rnacentral:rRNA from 1 species